ACGUUUGGUGUACUUUGGCAGUAGAAUUGUCUGGUUGUGUAGAUUGUGCAGUUGAAUCUUAAUAGAUUUUUCCAGUCUCCAACAAAGCGCUAAACUUUACCUGGUCCUUAGAGGUGUGUACUUCUUGUCCUGAUGCUAGUAGAUACAAGUGCAGAAGUAAUAAUCUGCUAGAUCUCUUAUGGUAGCAAAGAGAAGGGCUUGGUAUCUGUUCACCUUUGUUUCUUCAACUGUUUAAUAUCUCACUUUGUAUGUGGAGGCACCAUCCACCAAACUCUUAAGCACCACUAAAGCUUCCAUUGUUUUAACAACCUCAAUUAUACUUAAAGCCAUAUUAGAAUUUUUUGUAACCAACACAUUUCACGUUUUAAAGUUUCAGAUUUUACCGUUACCCAUUUAUCCUUAUA
rnacentral:lncRNA from 1 species